rnacentral:lncRNA from 1 species
AUGGGUAAUAAAAAACAAAAAAGGAUAAGGGAAUGAAAUCAGUUUUUUGGGUCAACCUUGAAAUCAUGCUCGCUGGAAGUUGAAUUGGGAAACAAAAUCAUAGGUUAAAACCCUAAAUCACUCAGAAAAGAGGAGGUUUUCAGUUUUUUUUUGGCGUGAAAGUUUUUUGGUAUGGGAGGAGGAUUUUUUUUUCUGGCGUGACACUUUUUUUGUUCUGGGAUUUUCUUAGCAUGAAAAGUUUGAUGGGAUUUUCGCUUUGGAAGAGAUUUGGGAUGGGAUUUUUUUUGUGGUAAAGAAUAUGCUUCUGUAAUUGUGUCCUGAUUUGUUUGAUUUUCGUUAUUUUUUUUGUUCUUUGAAGAAGUUCUGAUUUUUUGAAAAAUUUUGGGAAAAUAUGAAAAAUUAGGUUGAAUAUUUAAAUUUUUCGUUGAUUUUCUCAGCCAAAGAUUGAAGUUUUCGACGCAUAACCUAGAUUCUGGUGGAGAUUCCCAGAAUCCGAUGAAUCAGUUGGCCGAAGUUCAUUUGCCUCUAGAGAGAAGGCAAAGAAAAAACCAAGAGAGAAAGGGUUCCGGCAAUACGAGGAAAAAACAAAUUGCUUACGACGCCGUUUCGUGCAAUACAGGACCCGCUUGAACCUGCCUUGAAUCUGCACAUGAUCCACUUGCAUAACCCCACCUGAUCACAAACAAUUUUAUUUUAUUUUAUUUUCUAUUUUGAUUUUAAUUUUUUAUUUUAUUUUGAUUUUAUUAUUAUGUAUAUAUCUUUCUUUUGUUUAGUAUUAUUUUAU